ACUCCUACGGGAGGCAGCAGUGGGGAAUAUUGCACAAUGGGCGCAAGCCUGAUGCAGCCAUGCCGCGUGUGUNAAGAAGGCCUUCGGGUUGUAAAGACUUUCAGUCGUGAGGAAGGUAGUGUUAGUUAAUAGGCCUGCUAUUAUUUUGACGUUAGCGACAGAAGAAGCGACCGGCUAACUCCGUGCCAGCAGCCGCGGUAAUACGGAGGGUGCGAGCGUUAAUCGGAAUUACUGGGCGUAAAGCGCAUGCAGGUGGUUUGUUAAGUCAGAUGUGAAAGCCCGGGGCUCAACCUCGGAAUUGCAUUUGAAACUGGCAGACUAGAGUACUGUAGAGGGGGGUAGAAUUUCAGGUGUAGCGGUGAAAUGCGUAGAGAUCUGAAGGAAUACCGGUGGCGAAGGCGGCCCCCUGGACAGAUACUGACACUCAGAUGCGAAAGCGUGGGGAGCAAACAGGAUUAGAUACCCUGGUAGCUACGAGU
rnacentral:rRNA from 1 species